rfam:Marine metagenome 1695892, whole genome shotgun sequence.
ACUCAACGAGUUAUUAAUUAAGAGUGGUGAGUUUCAAUUGUAAAAGCAAGCUGUCUUGAACAGAUCCUUGAUCAGUUGUGUAGCUACAAACCUGGUUUUAUGGAGUUU